rnacentral:sRNA from 1 species
UUGACAGCACUGAAAAUAGAAGUUCUAUGUUAAAUCCAUAGAACAGGUACAGCUUGAGUAGCAGCAGUGGAAGAGUCUUCUCGUUCCACCACUGUACCUCAUUUGUGGCAAGGAGGGACUUGUGAGGGGGUGUGGAUAUUUCAGACACUGUGCUGAUUUAAUCCUUGCAAGUU